GGGGGCCACGGGGGGCAGCAGUGAGGAAUAUUGGUCAAUGGGCGGGAGCCUGAACCAGCCAAGUCGCGUGAGGGACGACGGUCCUAUGGAUUGUAAACCUCUUUUGUCGGGGAACAAAGGCGCCCACGGGUGGGCGGAUGAGUGUACCCGAAGAAAAAGCAUCGGCUAACUCCGUGCCAGCAGCCGCGGUAAUACGGAGGAUGCGAGCGUUAUCCGGAUUUAUUGGGUUUAAAGGGUGCGUAGGCGGAAUGCCAAGUCAGCGGUAAAAUCGCGGGGCUCACCCUCGCUCCGCCGUUGAAACUGGG
rnacentral:rRNA from 1 species